rfam:Triticum urartu cultivar G1812 contig286189, whole genome shotgun sequence.
CGUCUACUCCCUCCGUCCCACAAUAUAUGACUUUUAUUUGUUAAAAUAUAGAUGUAUUUAGACAUGUUUUAGUAUAUAGAUACAUCUAUUUUUGAAUAAAUGGAAGUUAAUUAUUUUGAAACGGAGAGAGUAUCUA